rnacentral:rRNA from 1 species
UACGUAGGGACCGAGCGUUUGUCCGGAUUCAUUGGGCGUAAAGAGCUCGUAGGCGGCUGCUCAAGUCGAAAUGUGAAAACUCGAGGCUCAACCUCGAGCCCUGCAUUCGAUACUGGGCGGCUAGAGUCUGGUAGGGGGAUCUGGAAUUCCUGGUGUAGCGGUGGAAUGCGCAGAUAUCAGGAGGAACACCGGUGGCGAAGGCGGGAUCUUGGGCCAGUACUGACGCUGAGGAGCGAAAGCGUGGGGAGCGAACAGG